rnacentral:tRNA from 1 species
AGACUUAUAACUCAGGGGUAGAGUAAUCGCUUGAUAAGCGUUUAGUCAGUAGUUCAAAUCUACUUAAGUCUA